rnacentral:rRNA from 1 species
GACUGAGACACGGCCCAAACUCCUACGGGAGGCUGCAGUAGGGAAUCUUCCACAAUGGGCGAAAGCCUGAUGGAGCAACGCCGCGUGUGUGAUGAAGGCUUUCGGGUCGUAAAGCACUGUUGUAUGGGAAGAAAAGUUAAGGUAGGGAAUGACCUUAGCCUGACGGUACCAUACCAGAAAGGGACGGCUAAAUACGUGCCAGCAGCCGCGGUAAUACGUAUGUCCCGAGCGUUAUCCGGAUUUAUUGGGCGUAAAGCGAGCGCAGACGGUUGGUUAAGUCUGAUGUGAAAGCCCGGAGCUCAACUCCGGAAAGGCAUUGGAAACUGGUUAACUUGAGUGCAGUAGAGGUAAGUGGAACUCCAUGUGUAGCGGUGGAAUGCGUAGAUAUAUGGAAGAACACCAGCGGCGAAGGCGGCUUACUGGACUGUAACUGACGUUGAGGCUCGAAAGUGUGGGUAGCAAACAGGAUUAGAUACCCUGGUAGUCCACACCGUAAACGAUGAACACUAGGUGUUAGGAGGUUUCCGCCUCUUAGUGCCGAAGCUAACGCAUUAAGUGUUCCGCCUGGGGAGUACGACCGCAAGGUUGAAACUCAAAGGAAUUGACGGGGACCCGCACAAGCGGUGGAGCAUGUGGUUUAAUUCGAAGCAACGCGAAGAACCUUACCAGGUCUUGACAUCCUUUGAAGCUUUUAGAAAUAGAAGUGUUCUCUUCGGAGACAAAGUGACAGGUGGUGCAUGGUCGUCGUCAGCUCGUGUCGUGAGAUGUUGGGUUAAGUCCCGCAACGAGCGCAACCCUUAUUGUUAGUUGCCAGCAUUCAGAUGGGCACUCUAGCGAGACUGCCGGUGACAAACCGGAGGAAGGCGGGGACGACGUCAGAUCAUCAUGCCCCUUAUGACCUGGGCUACACACGUGCUACAAUGGCGUAUACAACGAGUUGCCAACCUGCGAAGGUGAGCUAAUCUCUUAAAGUACGUCUCAGUUCGGACUGCAGUCUGCAACUCGACUGCACGAAGUCGGAAUCGCUAGUAAUCGCGGAUCAGCACGCCGCGGUGAAUACGUUCCCGGGUCUUGUACACACCGCCCGUCACACCAUGGAAGUUUGUAAUGCCCAAAGCCGGUGGCCUAACCGUAAGGAGGAACC